rnacentral:lncRNA from 1 species
UGCACAAAUAAAGAAAAGAGGAAAAAAGAAGAAAACAAAUAAUAUAAUCAGUUUAUUGUUGUCGAUAAUAUUAUACACACUUGUUGUAUGCAAUAAUUUUAUACACAUGUUGAAUACAAGAAUUAUAAUUUCACGCAUACCUGGGAGCUCCCAGGGGUCGAACUUGUAAAGGUCGACUUCAGCGAUAAUAGCAACCGGGAGGGGAGCGGAGGUGGCCUUUUUCUUGAGAUAGUGGACGACUAGCUCUUCGUCCGUCGGGUGGAAGCGGAACCCGGGCGGCAGGUUUGGCUGCGGAGGUGGCGGCUGCUGGUGCUGUUGCUGUUGUGAGCCCGCGGACGAGUCGGUGCACUCCAUCCUUGGUUAUUGGGUUCGGAGGGUUUCUGUGCAGCCAAGCACAUAUUACAUAUAGACCUUCAAUGUCGUUUGGAGGUGGCAGACUGGCAGGGCCCCUGUUUUAAGUAUGUGAGGGGGCAAUAUUCCGCUGCAGUUGCCUGCAUGGUUUUUAAACUAGGGAACCAAUGGUCAAGGCCACGUAAUGGGAUCAGGGUAGAUUAGCCAUUUUAUAUGAUGUGUAAUUACUUCGUUAACCAUGAUUAAGGCGGGGGCCUAAUUUUGUGCAUGGGAUUGAGAGUGACUGUGUGGUGGUUAGCAUAGGGACAGGUAGGGAAAGGGGAUAUGGAGGUGAUGGAAAACCCUAGGACGAAGCGAACUGAAAAGUGGGCCGUUGAUAGGCCGACACGUGUAAUUCGAAAACGAGAGAAAGGUCGACACGUGUGGUGGACUUCCGUGGGGCCCACGGACCACGCGAGGCAACAAAAUUAUACAGACGGAUAAGCCUGGGGUGGGAACAAGCAUUACGCUUCAGAUGUCAUGCUUUUUUUUUUUACAGAAGCGAUAAAAAAAAGUUGUCAUGCUUUUAUUGCGCAAAAAUAGCACCAAUUUUGCCAAGGACCCCACCAACAACCCAUUGGAGAGACUACAUGAUGAAUUGGACGAGAGAUUUUUGGCUGGAAUAUGAAUCAGAACAUUGUAUGUCAUAAUUUAAUUGGAGAAAAGUUUUUUUUAAGUGUUAGAAUACGAAUCAGAAUAUUGUAUGUCAUAAUUUAAUUGGAGAAAAGUUUUUUUAAGUGUUCUUUUAAUAAUAUAAUGAUAUAUGGUGUUAUGCUCUGUGUUCCUGUCACAUUGAAAAAUUUCUCUAAUUGAACAUAAUCCUGUCUUUGUUGUAAUUAAUUCUCCAUUUGCUCUUCACUCCAAUCUUCAUCUCUUUGUAAAAAGGGGACAACUGGUGGCAAGUCAUGGUUAUCCACCUUUUCUAAUGGCCAGAAGAUUCACAGAGGCAUUUCAAGCUCUCCCUGACCACAAGUCUGGCUUUCACACCAAUAACGAGGUUUGAACCCAAGACCUCCAGUUUUCAUCACUUAGCUAGGGCUUGGAUUAAGAUUUUUGUUUUACAAUCUAAUAUAUAAAAAGCUAUCACGUGCCCGAAAUAUACGUGAGCAAGGAGAUAGCAUAUAACAUAUUAAUAAAAAAAUACGACGCUCUGAAAUAAAAGUGAACAAAUUGAAAAAGUCGGAUGUUGAAAUUACAAUAACAAACAUGAUUUUUAAUAAAACAGUUUAGUUUAAUAGGAUAUGACAUUGAUAAACAAAUUGCAUCAAGAUGACAUGGAUUGCUAUAUAUAUACAAUGAUUAUAUUGUAUGAAUACUUUUCAAUCUUGUAGAUUUAGUUGGGGACUAAUAAAUUACUAGAACGUGACCCACAUGCUAAUUACAUGAAAAUGUGGAUUAAAUGAUAGGUACAAUAUUGGCGUCAUGUAAACAAUUGUGGUCUUGUGAUGUGCUCAUGAGGACAUGACAAUCCCUGUAUACCCUAAUGAUAAUUGGUAUGUAUCAUGGGGUCAGUUGGUGUUAAGAUGUCAUAUAUCAAACCCUAGGAUUCUCUUUUCCCUGAUGUAUUUUCUUGAAAAAAAAGUUUAGAAAAUUAUUGGCUUUCAGAGUAUUAAUUGGAAUAUUAUAAAUUUAGUACUACCAAUUGACUUCUAGGUGUAAUGUUACAUAACGGGUGUGGUAGUUAAGCACUUAAUUUUUAGACCAAAAAAGUGAAAUUAAAUAUAUCAUCCAUUCAACAUUUGAUGAGUUAUAUAUAUAUAUAUAUAUAUAUUUUUUUUUUUUUGAACAAACGACAUUAUCUAUACUAAAGAAGAGGAGGGCGGGCUUAGCUUCAUAAUGGAUUAACAAUAAUAUAGUUCAAACUCGCAUUUGACGAAAAUCGAACCUAAAACAUCUUAUUUACAAAUGAAGAGGAAUACUAAUCCGUAUAUAAGUGGCAGUUAUAUUAGUAUUUUGUAGUGAUUCGGAAUUGAUCAGAAACUCAUGGUACCAGUAGCAUUAGUUGCAGGGGUUUUCACACCAAGAAAUAUUAUGGGGCUGUUUCAAUGUUUGUUGUGGAGACAAAUUAAUGCUCAUCAGGAGGUGAAAAUUUGUGCGAGGUUGUUUAAUCACAUGAUCGUUUAAGUGGCAAAGUACUACAAUUACAUAACCGAAACAUUUUAUUAUUCAACGCUGGCACGUGAUAAGAAUAUAACCCUACACAAGUUCUGACCUGCUUUACCAUCCAGCGCAAACAAGAAGAGAGAGCUGAGAACUUACCAUGGAUUGGCUACUGGGAGAGCCAUAGUUGGGUUCGAAGCACCUGUGAGAGUAUUUGACCACGUACCAACCAAGUAGCGAUGGCUCAAGAACUAUAUUGGGUAGAGGCCAAAAUCAUGAUGGAUGACUAAGGAGGUGGGGUCUGAGUGCUGGUUCCAUCGACAACAAAAGGGACCCAAUAGGUGUCACUUCUUGCUAUCCAAUAUUACUUAUCAUCGUCAGAAGGGGCAAAUCCUAAUAUCACAAAAUCACAUUUAAUUAAUUCUCACACCUCCACUCAUUCAUUCACACUCACACAACACACACAAAAUGUAGACACAGUCUCACACUUUCAAAAGAUCAGGUCCUUUAAGAGAAGGGAGAUAUCAUUUGUGAGAUCCAUUUCAUGUUGAAUUUUAACGAUUCGAACGGUAUAUUUCGUAAGUCUCGAUUCAUUGAUCAUCUAUGCAAAAAUUUCAUUCAAUCCGAAAUUUUUUAUUUAUUUAAUUGUUACGAUGAAAUUUCAAAGUUUCUUAAAACAUAGUAUUCAUCGAUUUCUUUAAACUCAAUUAGAUGCCUCAAAUAUGAGGUGCAACUUCAAAAAUAGACAGUUCGAAUCGUUGAAGUUCGAUGUGGUGUGAGCACGCGAUAACUAAUUCCCAUUUUAUGAUAAAAAAAAAAUCCCUUCCCUUAAAAAAUCUGUUUAAUGUUAUAAACUUCUUAUUUAAGUGUGAAUGUGUAUAUCCUAGAUUAGAUUUGAUUCUAGUUAUUCUUCCAUAUUAGGACUUGUAUUCCUUGGAGGAGAAGGAUUUCUUCUCUCUCUUAUUACUAUAAAUAAAGGCACUGCGUAGGGGGAAUAACACAUCAUCUACACAACCCUACAAACAUAUAUAUAUAUAUAUAUAUAUAUAUUCUCUCUAUGCCGCUGACCCCCUCUCCCUGUCAGUUAAAUAUAGGCCACAACACGUACUCCUACCGUUGCGCUUAGAAAUCUAACAUGGAAGUUUUAUGUAUCAAACUAGUUCAUCAAUAUCAUCACGCAAUCAGGUUUUUCAAAACAACGAUUUUUAUCUCGAUAUUUUACAGCCCUAAUAGCAUGAACAUUCACCAUAAUGCAUGACCCAACUUUACGUUUUUCGAAUAUUAAAUUUUACAUAAAUUGUGUAUACAUUAUAUCCAUAAUUAUUGAAUUAUGUGAAUUUGAUAUUGACAUGAAUUGCAUCAAAUUAUAUGUCCAUGCAUUGAAUUAUUUAAUAAAUAUGUAUGCAAUUGAAUUAAUUUAUAAUUUGGAAUUAAGAAAAAAAUUAUUAAAAUUAGAGUUUCUCAAAACCCAUCCCAUCACCACUACAAGCCGUCGGCUUCCGAGCCGCGCCGUGUCAACCCACCAGCCCUAGGAAUGCAGCCUGAAUGGCUGACCUGAGCCGCGAGACCAUAGAGCCGGAUUUAUGGGCUCAUGGUUUUGAAACCCAGAAAAACCUGACGCCUUUAAUGGCGUCUCUAUCAUCACAUAUGGGCCUAUAACCCAACCUUGACUUUGGGUCAUUGUCCUGACGGGUUGAAGCUCGUCCACCGAUGUAGAUUUACUGAGAUUCCUUCGAAUCUCGUCAGAUUUUUUGAAAUUUCGAUUCGAAUUUCUAGGGUUUUGGUUCAAACGUUGAGAUUUCUCUAUCUUCGUUCAUAUUCGUGAUCCCCAUUGACUCACGAACUGGCCCCAAGAAAUUUUGUCCCAAAACACAGCCGCCUGAAGCAACAACGCCGGUCUUCUUCCCUAGUAAGCGCACCUUGCUACGGCUAGGUUGUUUUUAGUCCUAGCCAGAGCCUAAUUAGGCCUUGGUUUUCUCGGCCUAAAACUAUUUUUUCCCCUUUUUGGGCUCGCCUGCAGUAGCCUAAACCAUUAACUCAGCCCAAUUCAACACCAGCCUGUAGGGCUAUGGUGUCCCCAUGCAUAACAACUGCAUUAGAUCCCAGCCCGUAGCUGGUGAGUCAGUGCACCUGCACCGUGACACACCUAAUCACAGCUUCGCAUAGCUAUGAAGCUCCCAUGUACCACAAUGCACAGGAUUACGUCCCUUCGGUACAUGUGUUCAAAACGCACCAAAUUAGAACUUUUUUUGGGUUUUUGUUUUUGGGCCUGAUCAACCCAUGCCCAACCCAGCCUAAUUUCCUUGGGCCUGGAACUCACAGUUCCAUUUUUCCCUAGCCCACCCGUGGGCUUUGGUCUAUGUUUUUGAACCCCAAGGUUUAAUUGUCUAUUUUUUUAGACAAUUACGGUUUUAUAAGUUUUUCACCCACACUUUAAAUUUAGCCCGAAGUCCAAAUAACUAAUUCAAUUAUAAUUCUAGACCUGAAGUUCUAUUUGCAUAUUUCUGUAUAUAUAUUUGUGUUUGUCUGCAAGAACAUAUGAACUUGAAGUUCAUAAUUAUUUUGAAACCUGAAGUUUCUAGAAACAUGCCUUGUUUGAAAACCUAAAGUUUUCCUUGAAAACAUCACCCAUGAAAACCUCAAGUUUUUUCAUGAAAAUUUAAACCAAUACAUGUCUAUUAAAACAUGAAUGUUCUACUCCUAUAUGAAUAGAUUGAUUUUUUUCUCCAUUACACUAACCACAUCUUGUCCAUUUAUUUUGUGAUAGGAACAUGUCAAAUUUGAACAAACUCGACUUCACAGUUUUAGAGGUCUCUGGAAGAAACUACCUUAAAUGGGUCCAAGAUGUGAAGCUCCACCUCCCCGCAAAGAAUUUGUGUCCCACCAUUCAAGAUGAGACGGACAACCCGGUUGGCGAAGCUGAGAAAGCCAUUGCCAUGAUCUUCAUCCAAAGACAUGUUCAUGAUGCAUUGCAAACCGAGUACCUUGCUGAGGAUGAUCCACGACCACUAUGGGUUGCUUUGGUUGUUCGCUUUAAUCACAAAAAUGAUAUCUUUUUGCCUGAAACAAGACAUGACUGGCAGCAUUUGCGCUUAGAAGUUUGUCGAAUGAAUAUAAUUCUGACAUUUGUCGAAUCCGAUCACUUCUUAAGUUCUAUAACGAGACAUUGACCGAAGAUGAUCUUCUGGAGAAGACCUAUUUAACCUUCUCUGCUACUAAUUGAUGCGUAAAAUAAGUUAACACACAAAUUAAACCCUCUUUUUGACAAUUAUAGUAAAGUAUGUAAGUAGGGUAUCGUUCUAGGCCGGGGAUUAGGAGGGAUUGCUAAUCUAUUCUAAAUUAAUUUAAAAAUAUUAAACAAGACUCAAGGACACAAAACUAGGUUAAGAACUCUAAUAACUCGAAACACACUUAGAAUGACUCAAAAUAAUGAAAACAAUCAAUUGAGACACUAGGAACUGAAAUGGACGGAAAUUGAAUUAAAAGACUAACAACAAUGAAAACUAACUAAAUAAUAUAAUUUAAUAAUGGGGGGGGUUUGGUUUUGACGAGAAGUAAAUUAAACUUAAAUAAAUUACAGAAUUGACAAAAGCAUGAAAUUAAGGUGAAAGGAUAGGUGACGGACUAGCUAGAGGGUUCUUCUUCACACAUGACACAUAUGCAACCUAAAUUGAUUUUCAGUUGUUCUUUCAAUAAAUUGUAAAUCUCAAUACUUCAGAUUAACCGUGAACAACACUUUUUUUAAUCUUCAAGUUUUCCUUAAGUUAUUGAAUUGGACGGAAAAACGCAUACAACAAUUCAAAACAUUCCCUACAAGUUCCCUACAUGAAUUGCAUAAUAGAGAUACAAGCAAGAAUCAUUAAGUUCUAUGAAAAACAUAAACAUUGACGAGGCACUCGUUACUAUGAUUUGCAUGAAACUUAUGCCAAAAGUUUACUUAACGUGAUUGUGACUAGCAACCUUCACUACUUGUGAAUAUAAGUUUAUAACGAUUAGGUGAAACUCCCUUAUAUUCUAGCGUCAAAUUCAUGCAUGUAAAUUAAGUAUGCAUUCUUAAUCGACAUACAAAAAUAAGUUAUCAAUCAAGCAGUUAAGCAAAUUAAAUCACAACUCAGAAAUCACAACUGAAGGUAAUCAAUUCAUAUUACAAAUAUAUUCAUGGCUUUGAAUUAACCUCUAGCCAAAAUAAAUUUAGUUACACAUUAUUAAAACAGAAAUAAAAUAUAAGUUUGGAAAGAUUUAACCGAGAGAGAAGGCAGCUUUGCUCCUUCUGUUUUUUUCCCUGCUCUCUGCCUUGCUCUCUCCCCGCGCCUUCUGUUCCUCGUUCCUCUGACCUCUGACCUGCCUCUCUUUGCUCUCCUGUCCGUGCCUCUCUUCUCUUUCUCGCUGCAAAGGCAGCCUUUUCCCCCCCUGGCGCUGUGCUCUUGUCCUCCUCUUAUUCUUCUUUCAUUUAUUUUUUUAUUCCUUUUUCUUCCCAGCCAGGCAGCUAAGCUGCUUCUUUCUUCUUCUUUUUUUCUGUUCUCUUCUCCCUUGUCCGAGUCUUCCUCUCCUCUGUCCAAAAAAAUAUCCUCUUAUCAUUCCUUUCUUUUUCUUUUCUCUUUCUUUUCCUUUUUUUAUUUCUUUUCUUAUCUUCUGCCGUGCAUUUUCUUCUCCCUUCACAACAUGAAUCAUGAUGAUGUUUCAAACAUCAUCAUGACUUAUCAUUUUUAUUAUUAUUUUUAAUUUAAUUUAAAAGCUGAUCUACACAGACAGUUUUGACGAAUUUAUUACAUAAAAUUUCACUUGUUCUAUUUUUAUUUUCUUUGCAUAACAAAUCCUAUAAACACAAAAAUAACGUAAAUAGCUCAAAAAUAUAAGGAACUAACUAAGAAAAGACGAGUGAAUUCGAAGUAAAAAUAUAUAUAAAUAUGAUCCAAUCACUAAUAUUGUCAUGCAGCAACAUAUAGGGCUUAGAAGUUCACUAAGUUUUCAGAUUUGAUCUUUGUUUUACUUUUCGCUGAAAAGCAGAAUCAGCUGUUGAUGAAAAAUCAUUAAGCUCGACCUACUGGGCAAUUGUUGUGCCUGAAGCACAUUAUAGCACCAACAAACGCCCAAAUAGGCGUGGUAGGGGCAGCCAAAAGCCACCCUAUCAAGGUUAACAGAGCCAAGGCUCAUAUAAGGGAGGAAACUGAGCCUAGAAGCGCCCUAACCUUGCUCCCAAGGCCCUGAACUUCAAGAAUAAGGGCUAAGCAUCUGAAACCAUGGAUGCGGACAUGUGAUAUUGUUGUGGUUCAAAGGACCAUUGGUCCCGUGUUUGCCAUGCUACCCAGAAGGUUGUAACUGAGAAGUUUGAAUCAAACUUUAUGCAAGUGGAUAAACUAGAGAGUACUAGAUGGAGGUUUCUAACUUUCAGGAGGAUACCACUCCUAUGGAAGAUUAGAAUCUUAGAUAUAAACUAUUUUUCUAGUUGAAAUUUAGAUAAUGGGGCUGAAUUCCACCUAGUGGCCAAAACCCCCUUGUUUUUUGGUUUAAUUUUGAACAAUUUCCUUUAUGUUUGGAUUAUUUGUUGGUGAUUUGCUUUUGGAUAUUAAGUUUUUAUUAAUUACCAUCCUUGAAUACUUAUAUUAUUUUGAAUAGAUAUUUGUUUUAAGAACUUUUAUGCAUGUGACCAAUUCAAAUUAAUUUUAUUUCUAGGUAUGACUAGUGGGAAAGUUAGUUGUUUGGCAGAUAGUGCAACCACGCACACCUUUUUGCGUGAACACAUCUAUUCCACUAACUUCAUACCUAAGAAUGCACCUCUGACAACCCUCUUGGGCCCAUCCAACCUGAUCGAAGGAUAUGGUAUGACACAUAUAAUGUUGUCCAAUGGUACAAUUUCGACCAUUGAUGAAGUGCUUUAUUCUUCGCGUUCCGGAAGAACGUUGUUGAGUUUCAAGGACAUUAGAGAUAAUAAUUACCACAUUGAAACCUAUAUAGAAAAUGGAGUUGAAUUUUUGUGCAUAACUUCAUACGAAUAUGGCCAUAAGUGUAUUCUAAAGGGGAUGAAGAAUAUCGUGAGUGGUCUGUAUACUACGACCAUAUGCCCUAUAGCAAGCCACUAUGUGGCCGGCCCAACCUAUGAGACUGCGCACGAAAUUACACUUUGGCAUGAUCGUUUAGGACACCCUGGACGAAUAACAAUGCGCCAUAUCCUCAAAUCAUCAUACGAGCAUCCAUUAACCCGAAGUUUAUAUUCGAUUCAAAGAAUCGCAUGUCAAACCUGUUACAUGGGAAAGCUUAUUAUUAAGCCUUCUUAUGACAAGAUUCAUUCGAAUCCUCAUAUUUUUCUACAAAGGAUUCAGGGGGACAUUUAUGGACCGAUUCACCCUUCCUGCGGACCAUUUAGAUAUUUUUUGGGUUUGGUUGACGUCAACACACUUGUUGUCCAUAAACAACGCUGUAUUCUCCAAACUGUUGGCUCAGGUUAUCAAGCUCAGGGCUCACCACUCUGAUUAUCUAAUCAAAUCUAUUUGAUUGGAUAAUGCUGGAGAAUUCACAUAUAAAACUUUUGAUGACUAUUGGAAGUCAGUUGGGGUUGAAGUUGAACAUCCAGUACCACAUGUUCACACCCAUAAUGGCCUGGCAGAGGCAUUCAUUAAGAGCUUCCAAAUGAUUGCUCGAUCGUUGGUCAUACGUACUAAGUUCCUAAUCGCUUUGCACACAACCAUGUUGGUCCGCCUGAGGCCUGUUGCAACCCAACCUUAUAGUGCAUUUCAGUUGGUUACUGGAUACGAACCCGACAUAUCGCAUCUGCGCAUUUUUGGUUAUGCGAUCUAUGUGCCAAUUUCAUCGCCCUUACAUACAUAAAUAGGACCUCAGCGAAGGAUGGGAAUCUAUGUCGGAUAUGAUUCUCCUUUAAUCAUUUGUUACUUAGAACUUUUGACAGGUGAUAUGUUUACUGCUUGUUUUGCAGAUUGUCACUUCUAUGAGACAGUCUUCCCGUUGUCAGAGGGAGAUAAGAACUUCAAUGCUCCUGAAGAACGACGCGAAUUAUCAUGGACGACUCUCACUUUGUAUCAUUUAGAUCCCCGUACUGCAAAGUCUGAGACUGAAAUGCAGCACAUAUUAGAUCAGAGCAUAACUUAGAGCAUGCUAGAUGCUUUUAUCGAUCUAUUGCGAGUGACAAGAUCACAUAUUCCAGCUACGAAUAUGCCUACAAAGAUGGAUCUACCAAAUGUAUGAUGAACUUCCCUCCUAGAGGCCCGGGACACCACUUUGGCCGAGCCACGUACAUUAGCGACUAGUCAAUCAUUUUCCCCUACAUAGAAGCAUGGCAGACCACUUGGUUCAAAGGAUUUACACCCCCGGAAGAGGAAAUCCACGGCACAGGCACCUGUAGAGCCUACCGUGAGUCCGACUGUUACUUACUCAUUCUAUCAAACUCAUGAGGAAAUUCUAGAUUACGGAAGUGUCCUUGAAGAGACAAAUCCACCUUCUGAGAAUCAUGAGAUUUCGGUCCAUUAUGCUAGCUUGGAUGAUGUUUGGUGUAGAAAUGAGGUGAUCAUCGAUGAUGCAUUAGCAUAUGCAGUAGUUACUGAGAUCAUGUUGUGCAAUGACAUUGAACCUCGUUUUGUUAAUGAAUGUCAACGUAGAACUGUCAAGCAGUCCAAGUUGAACUCGAUUCGCUUACGAAACAUAAGGUGUUUGGACCUGUAGCUCCUACUCCUUCAUAUAUGAAGCCCGUUGGUUACAAGUAGGUUUUCGUUCGGAAACGUAAUGAGAAAAAUGAAAUUAUGCAUCACAAAGCUCGUCUUGUUGCGUAAGGCUUCUCACAACGCCCCAAGAUUAACUAUGACGAAACUUAUUGACCCGUUAUGGAUGUGAUUACUUUUCACUACCUUAUCAGUAUGGUAAUUUCUGAAAAAUUGAGUAUGCAGCUAAUGGACAUAGUAAUUGCGUAUCUCUAUGGGGAUCUUGAUACGAAAAUUUAUAUGAAAGUUCUCGAAUGACUUAUAUUGACUGGAUCAAAUAUUUCCAAACUCUGGAACAUGCUCUCAAUUCGACUGCGGCAUUCACUCUACAAUUUGAAGCAAUCUAGAAGAAUGUGGUAUAACCGUCUGAGUGAAUAUUUAAGUAGUCAGGGAUAUGUGAACAACGAACUAUGCUCUUGUGUGUUCAUUAAGAAGUCAUAUUCUGAUUUUGAGAUUGUCGCAGUAUAUGUCGAUGACAUGAAUCUCAUAAGAACUCCUGAAGAGCUCACGAGAACUGCCGCACACCUGAAGUCAAAAUUUAAGAUGAAAGAUCUAGGAAAGACUUGAUAUUGUUUCAGUCUCGAGAUAGAGCACCAUUCGGAUGAAAUCUUAGUAUAUUAAUUGAACUACACUUAGAAGGUGUUGCGCCACUUUAACGAGGAAAGCUAAGCCUUCAAGUACUCCUUUAGUCGUUCGAUCGCUAGAUGCAAAACAAGAUCCCUUCCAUCCGAAGAAGGAUGAUGAAGAGAUUUUGGAGCCUGAAGUUCCUUAUCUAAGUGCGAUAAGCGCUUUAUUGUACUUAGCUCAAUACACUAGACCCGACAUAUCAUUCGCUGUUAAUCUUUUGGCAAGAUACAAUAAUACACAAACACGCAGACACUGGACUGGUAUUAAAGACAUUUUUCGUUACCUUAAGGGUACUACGGAUCUGGGCUUGUUCUAUCCCUACAGAUCCUCGAGUGAUGUCGCACCCUCUUAUCUUGAAUCGAUUCUCGCCUUGUUGGUUAUGCCGAUGCAGGAUACUUAUCUAAUCUGCACAAUAUGCGCUCUCAAACGGGUUAUGUCUUUACCGUUGAAAGCACCACAAUCUUUUGGAAGUCAACUAAACAGACCUUAGUUGCCACUUUGUUUAACCAUGCUUAAAUUCUCGCCCUACACAAAGAACCUCGGGAAUGCUUUUGGCUGAGAGCUAUUGUGGGCCAUAUUCAAAGCUCAUGUGAUCUUUACUCGGUCUUUGACAUCCCGAUGACGAUCUAUGAACACAAUGUAGCAUGCAUCGAACAACUCAAGAAGGGUUACAUCAAAGGAGACAACACCAAACACAUUACGCCGAAGUUCUUCUUCUCACAUUAACAACAAGAGCAUUAGAAGAUUGAAGUUACGCAAAUCCGUUCACAAGACAAUCUGGCUAACCUCUUAACCAAAGCACUACCUAAGACGACGUUUCAGAAGCUUGUUCAAGGAAUUGGUAUGCAUAAACUUUUUAAGUUGUAACAUUGCUAGUGUUUUUUGGAAUUAUGUGAAACUUAAGGGAGUAUCCUGAAGUAUACUUGGUUGAUCUUAAUGUACUCUUUUUCCCUACAAUUAGGAGCAAUUUUCCCACUAGAUUUUUGCUACCUAACAAGGUUUUGACGAGGCACACACCUUGGGUUGAUCAUAUCCCUGAUGAUGUCCCGUAGACGUUUUAUUUGACUUUGCAUUACUCACGUAUUUUUCCUUAGCCUAUGGAUUUUGUCCCUACUUGGGUUUUUACCAUAGCCAUAGGGUUUUUUGUGAGACUUACUUCCUUAUGCAAGUUCCUACCUUAUUUGAGAAUAACGUGUUCCCAUAAUCAGUGCUGACGAGUCGACUUCCUCAACCUCUACAUAAUGCCAAAUCUACUUGAGUAUUUACACACUCAAGAGGGAGUGUUAUAAACUUCUUAUUUAAGUGUGAUUGUGUAAAUCCUAGAUUAGAUUUGAUUCUAGUUAUUCUUCCCUAUUAGGACUUGUAUUCCUUGGAGGAUGAGGAAUUCUUCUAUAUUCUCUCUGUGUUGCCGGCCCUCUCUAGGGGGAAUAACAUAUCAUCUACACAACCCUACAAAUACAUCUCUCUGUGCCGCUGGCCCCCUCUCCCUGUCAGUUAAAUAUAGGCCACAACAUUUAAAGAUUAGUUUGAAUAAUUAGUGAUAUUAAUGACACUACUGGCACGUACGGUGCCUCAUCUAACACACUCUCAAUUUUGAUCAUCUUAAUCAUCUAAUUAAUCACACAACAACUUGAUUCUCAAUUGAUGUGAAAUAACUAAAUUUACGUGGGUCCUUAACGAACAUACAUUAUGCUCUAACUAUUUUUAUUUUUUUUGUUGGUGGGGAGCUUGAUCCAUGAAAAUUAAGGAGGGAAAGUCAGUUAUCCCCUAUUUGUCAAUGCAAAAUUCCCAAUCAGAAGAAUUUUCAUGAGUGCAUGUCCUUGAUUGUGUUAGUGAUUAAAGCUUCUUAUUAAUUUUAUUGCACUCGAAUCCAUACAUUUGUUCUCUCUUUAAUGUAAAAACGAAAAAAAAAAAUACUACUACUACUUGUAAUCAAAGUAUAGCAAUCCUUAAAAAAAAAGUUUUGGAUAUAUGUCCUAAAUAUUUUCUUUUAGUGACAUACGAAUGAAAGAUUGACAAGUAUCAAAUUCGAAAGCAUAAAAUAAAAUUCAUCAGCGAUCCGAAAUCUAACAAAGAAUAAAGAAAACUCAGAAUUUUUAUUGUGUUGUGGCAUAUAUUUAAUUGAGGGGUGCGACAUGGAGAGAAAGUGAGUGGAGAAUGGAUAUGAGGAAUUGUGUGUUAGUUUUCCAGUCCUUAUGCCUUUAUUUAUAGUAAUAACAAGGAGAGAAACUUGCUUUCUAAGUAAUACAAAGUCUAUUAGGAAAGAUCUUCUAGAUCCCAAAAGAUUCCUAAUCUAUCUCUACUUAGGAUUUACACAAUCACAAUAUGUAUUAGAACAUAUGUCACAACACUCCCCUUUAGUGUGCAAAUGCUCAACUAGAUGGCGCAUCUGAUCUUCGGGUAAAUGUAGAAGUAGUUGAUGAAGUCAUCUUGUCUAGUCAGCAUAAGUAGCGAAUGCUAGUCUCAAAACAAACGGAAGAAUGCAUGGGUGGUAAAACUCACAAAACCUCGCUAUGGAAAAACCCAAGGUGGGACAAAAGCUUUUAGCUAAAGGAGAAAAGUGAGAAGUUGCAUUAAACUAAAACUAUACGUCAUUGGGACGCAAGUAGAAUGUACACAAGGGUAUGACUAACCCAAGAUGGGUGCCUCAUCAAAACCUAGUCAAGUAGCAAAGACCCAUUGGGAAAAAUGCUCACAAUUGUAGGGAAAAAGAAUACAUUAAGGUCAAGUGAGUAUACUUCUGGAUACUUCCCCUGAGUAUGACAAAACUUCCAAAUGAAACUACAAGCAUCGUAAAUGAGAAAGUUACGUAUAACAAUUCCUCGGACAAGCUUUUGGAAGGUAGACUUCGGCAAUGAAGUCGUGUAGAGGUCGAUAAGAUUGUCUGGGAUCGGACUGCUUGACUUUAAUCUUUUAAUGCUCAUGCUGAUGUAAACAUAAUAUGCUUGGCGUUGACCUGUUGGAUGUAUCAUGAUCUGGUUACAUACGGCGUUGUCUUCAUGGAUCGUUGUUGGGACUCAACGAUGAAUGAAAAUCAUAUGAAGUUUGAAUAUGCUCAACAAGAGUUCUCAACCAUAUCUCUCACAUGAUGAGAUACAGUGAGUCUUAGAAUGAUUCAAAGGUUUCGCAACAAAAGGUCUAUAUGGUUGACCUCCAAGAUAUUGCGGUGUUCCUUAAUGGUAAAGGCAUAACCAUUCGGGAACGUACCUUGUGCGGUUAGAUAGAUAGUCUGAUUCAGCAAAUCCCACAAGAUAGGCAUCAUUCCGAAAAUCAAUGGGGUGUGAUAUAUUCUAAGAUGCAUAAGGAUAGACAAGCCCAAAUUCGUAGUAGCAAAAAAACGUCAUUAACACCAAAUUUGGGGGUGGCUUGUAGGCGUCAUGUUGCUUUAUGCCAAAAGAUUAUCAAUACAUAAGAUGUUUGAUCUAGUGCAUUGAGCUAAGUACAACAAACGCCAAUUGUACUUAGAUAUGGUUGUGUCAGGUUCUAAUAUGGAACCUUAUGCUCCAUAUCCUCCGUAAAGGUCUCAUUUACAUCUAGCGUACAGACGACUAGGGUAUACUCGGACAUCACACCUUUUGGGUCUAGUUCUAAUGGUGGACCAAAAUACCAUUAGAACUAGCUCAAAAAUUUCAGGUCAAGGUAAUGUUGAGUUUUUCUGAGAUCAUUUAUCUUAAAGUCAGACUUUAGGUGUGAGUCAGUUUUCUCAACUCUAGCAAUUUUGAAUUUUGUACACACAUGGGCAACUGAUGAAAUAUUCACUUAGAUAGGUAUACCACAUUGCCCGGAUAGUUCUGCAUCCGUAAAGUGAAGGCCUCAAUAUAACCAAAAUGGUGUUCUUAUGAUAUAGAACUAUUUGAAUUAGUGCAUGUAAGCCUUUUGGAAACUCCAUGUAGGUUUCGUAUUAGGAUCCCAAAGAUACUACAACCACGUUUGUAAUGCUGCAAUCAAUCACAUGGCAUAUGAGAGAAGUUUUGCACCACAAGACGUCAUAUUGCACUAUUUCAUUCAUCUCAUUCGCCAUGGAUUGAUUCUUCUAGUUGACCAAUCAGUUCUAUGUUGACAUUAAUCAACGGAACGCGGUUCGUUAUCUCCGCUUUAUGUCUGUAGUAACCAUAUAAAUGAAGCAUCAUCUAUGAUAAUCUCAUUCCAAUUCCAUAUCUCAUCCAAACUAGUAUACUGGACCAAGAAAUUCAGGUCACGGGAGUAAUUCAGAUUUAAUCCCAUAAGAUGAAAAAGAUUGAGAUAGUGAUCGAAAGGGAGCAUUCAUUCAUGCCACAUUCCUCCACUUUUGGGGAGGUGAAUCAUUUGAAUCGAGUUAUUUGCCACACUUCUGGCAUAUGACAGAUUGAUUGGCUAGCCGCCAAUGUACGAGGGUCAGCCACAAUAGUGGCGUUCCUGUUUUCAGGACGAAGGUUCGUCAUACAUAUGGUACAUAUUUUUGUAGGCACAUUUUUAGCUGAUAUAUAUGAUCUCAUCACUUUUGCUAGAUCAGAGGAAAUGUCUGGUUAUAUUGUGACGAUAUAGAUUGGGAUCAAAAUGAGACAUAGUGGGGAUGUCUAUGAUAAUUCGUGUCGUUCUUUAGGAACGUUACGUUCUUAUCUCCCCUAACGACGGGAAGACUAUCUCCUAAAAGUGACAAUCCUUAAAAUGAGCGGUAAAGAGAUCGUCUGUCGAAGGUUCUAAGUAACGAAUAUUAGAAGGAGAAUCAUAACUGACAUAGAUUUUCAUCUUUCCCUGAAGAUCUAUUUUUUUGUUGUACGUAAGGGCGGCACAAAUGGCACAUAGACCGCACAACCAAAGACGCACAUAUAUGAUUUGUCGAGUUCAUAUCUAGUAACCAACUGACACGUGCUUUAUAAGGUUAGGUCGUGACUGGCCUCAGGCGGACCAACAUGGUUGCUUGCAAUAUUGCAUAGCCUUAAGCAAAGAUCGAGAAUUUGGUACGUAUGACCAACAAUUGCGCAAUCAUUUGAAUGCAUUUAAUGAAUGCUUCUGCUCGGUUGUUUUGGGUAUGAACAUGAGCAACUGGAUGUUCAACUUCAAAACCCAACCGACAUGCAAUAUCCAUCGAAAGUUUUCAAUGUAAAUUCUCCAACUUAUCUAAUCAAAUAGAUUUGAUUAGAUAAUCAGGGUGGUGAGCCCUGAGUUUAUUAAUCUAAGCCACCAGUGUAGAGAAUGCAGCUUAUGGACAAGAGCCACACGUGUGACCGACGUGUAGAAGCAUCAAUCAAUACCAUAAAGUAUAUAAAUGGUCUGCAGGGUGAUUGAAUUAGUCCACAAAUGUCCCCUUGAAUCAUUUGUAGAAAAGGUAGAGAUUGCUAAGGCAUGAUACGCUUCCAGGUAUAAUAUCUUUACUUUUGGUAAGAAGAUGCCUAAAACGGCGCAUCACGGAUCAUCCUAGAUAUCCCAAAAGUACAUCUAUAAUGAAAAUUCCUUUGGGAUCUUGGACUUCUGGCCAGCCACAUAGUGGGCCUGAAUGGGUAUAAUUCACUCGUUAGGUGUUCCAUUUUCUCUAGAAUACGCUUCUGGCUAUAUUCUUAGAAAGUACAAGGGAAUUUUUACUCCAUUUUCUACAUUGGUUUUAAUAUGGUAAUAGUGCUCUCAAAUAUCCUUAAAACUCAAAAAGGCGUUAUGCCAAAGUGAAGUGAGUAUAAGGCUUCCCUUUAUAGUAAAAUUAGUACCAUUAGGUUGGAUAAGCCUGAAAGGUUGUCAGGGGGUGAUUAGUUGUGAAGUUAGCAUAAAACCAGGCAACUAACUUCCCCACAAAACAUACCUAAGUAUGAGUUAAUCGUAUUAGUCACAUGUAGUAAUUUUCGUUAAUUAACUAUUAUUCGAGAAUAAUAGUGUCAUCCAAACACCAAUCUUAAAUAUGAGAACAAAUAAAUUGUUCACAAAAUAAGCUAAAUAUACAAAGGGGGUUCGGCCAAUAUGGUUUUCCAUGUCAAAAUUUCGUUCACCAAAUGUGUUGGGUGGAGCAAAAUUAGUCUCACAUAUUGACUAUGGGAAUGGUACUCCUUAACAACAUUAGUAGGAGCACAAAAAAGUGCAUGACCAAUGAUCUAUUCCAUCAAAAUGGAAUUAGAUUCUGCAUGGUUGAGGUUCGGAAAUAUUAUCCCUUAUUCUUGAAGUUUUAGGUCUUAGGUGCUAAGGAUCAUGCUUCGGGCGUGAUACCACCUCUUGGCCUUGAUUCUACCAUAUGUUGUAAAACAAACUAAAAAUGAGAUUGUGAGAGACAGAUAAAUAGACCUAAACUUGGGUUCGGUAGGGUCUGUUCGAGAGGUCUCUACCGAAGCAAAGCAAUACCAUCAUGUGCACCUAUGUCGAAGCAGCGCAUGCCUUUCUGUGCAUCUCUAUUGAAUCAGAGCAUGCAUGUUGGUAUGUUUGUACCAUACUUGACCAAUCCUCAAAACUACCAAGCACCGAUCAACGUCAUACCUUCAAAGACCCACUGAAGGGUUCAUAUUGAGCCACCCCUACAGAAGCACAAGAGUUUCCCUCCAACCAGGAGGUCAAUCACAGCACAACACAUGUCAACGUCAGAAUAAAGCUCAUAGAGCCCUACAUCGACCGCAGAAAAAAGCUAGAGACUCUCCUCAACCAUAAAAGAAGACCAUUUUCCUACAAUUAAUCCCCAAUGUUAUUACUGUACUUAAACUUGUCAUUAGAACUCACUAAUGAUGAUUAUGCUUGAACCUAUGUAUUUUUGUAAACCCUUCACUAUUAAUGGGAACUCCUCUACUCUGUGGACGUAGCCAAACUUAAGGUGAACCAUACAUCUUGUGUUUGGUUCCAUAUCUUUAUCUCUUUACAUAUUUAUCAUCACUAGUGACUGAACCAACCGAGUGAAGGUCAUAAACUUGACACUUAAUAUUGUUCCAAAGUCUUCACCGAUUUUGUGCAUCAAUAUUCGGCACCAUCUGUGGGGAGGGACACUUAUUCCUAUUAUCUUCAGCUUUAUCUAGUUUUCAUCGUUUAUACACUCUUCUUUGACCAGGCAUACCUCUCCAACAUAGGGAGCGAAGAAAGCCACAACACACAAAUUAACACUCCCCUCGUGCCUAGUGUAAGGCAGUGAAGAACGAAAAAAGUUUGCUCUUCAAGCUAAAGUUGAAAAGUUGGAAGCUUUGAACAACAAGAUAGCAAUAAAGAAUGAAAUCCUUAAGGAGUAGUAUAAGAAGCUCUUCGAAAUGCUCCAUGAGGCAAGGUAUACUCAGUCACACGAACCCAUUGCCCCUAUGGACAUCAACCAUCACCUAGGCCCCCCUAACACGGAAGGUUAACGACCUUCAACAUGGAUAUUCCUGAUGAGGAGAAAACUACUCAUCAAUGUGUUGAUCAACGUAAGACUUAUCUUAACCCAACUGCUUCGACCCAAAGUAAGGGAAAUAGAAGGAGGCAUCUCCUUGCAGAGGGAACGGAAUGAUCAAAGGCUGUUUAUAGCGACUAUUGAGACUUUUGAGGCAACGUCGAGAAAACCCCAUCCACAUAAGCUCAAAGAUCAAUGACCUAAGGGUUUCCAAAAGACUAGUUCAUUUACCACAUUUCAUACUAGCUAUUAAUCCAAGGAAGAAAGGACAAGUUCUGAAGUAACUUAAGAAUGUAGAAGACCCAGAAGGCUACCAACAGGCAUGCCCCAGAAGCCGGUACGGUGAGUCUAAAGAAAAAUCAUCUAGCCUUGAUCAAACUUCCCUACUUCCAAGAGGUGAUGGAAACUUACGAAGGAAGGCUCCAAUAGUACAUGACUUCACUCAGGACCCUUUUGUCCUGCAGUUCAUUGAGGAAGUAAACAAGUUGAAGGCUGAACGUCAGGCCAAGAUACCAGACUGGAAUAAACCAAGGCCAAUCCCUCUAACAAGGAUGAUCAUUUGCACCGCACUACAAGGAAAAACUAAAUAUAAGCUUGGGUUACAAUCAUAUACUGAGACGGAAGAUCCAAUUUAGCAUAUCCACGUCUUUGAAUCUACCAUGGCAUACCGAAGACAUAAUGAUGAGGAAUGAUGUCUUAUAUUCCCCUCAACUCUGGUGAAGCUUUCAAUUAGUAUUGUCAUCUUCAACCUAAUACUGUGGAUUUCUUUGCUAAGAUAAGAAGAUUCUUCAUGGCUCAACACAUUUUCCAAGCUGAUCGCUUACACUCUGCAGAUAAGUUAUACACCAUUCGUCAAAAGUUGGACGAGUCAUUAUGUGAAAAUGUUGGUCGCUUCAGUCACGAGUACUUUCGUUGUGCUGAGGCAGAUGAUAAAACUUCACUCAUAGCCUUCACGGUAUGCAUGCGUGAAUGAUUCUUCAAGUACAUAAUCAAUGUUAACACUUGGAAGACUUACUCUGAGGUGAUGAUACAAGCUUACAAUCAUGCCUUUGUUGAGGCAAUGACAUACUAAAAGAACCCUCCUAUGAUUAACCCAUACCAACAAGUAGGGAGUGGAAGUCAAGUCUUACCAAGUGAAAAGGUUUUGGCCAUCCAGACACCCAAUGUAUCCUCUCAUGCCUCACUUAGCUACCCGUUAAGUAACCAAAUGUAUUCGUCUCUUGGCAAGAGAAAGGAUUUUUACUCUCAACAAGCUCAUUGCAACAAGAGGGAUAAAGGUUUGUAUCAAGACAACCAGGGGUGAACGUACCUUCAACUAUUAUGACCAUGGGGUCAAGCCUCACUCUUUCAAAAUAAAGGACCAGGUGCUGAAGGAAAUGCUUUUACACGAAGGUAUACCCAUUACAAAUAUUUUGACCUUCAACCGUUUGAGAUCCUUUGUAACACAAGCCAUUCGGCAAAUAUUUAAUGAAGAGGGAAUUUAGACAACUUCUUCUGAGUCUUUUACAUUCCUAGCAAUUGAACAUUUGGUCUAUGCUGACCUACCUCUAUACUCUAAUUCAGAGCCUUAACAAUCAUGUUUGACACAAAGUAAGUGAAACUAGGUGUUACAACCAACGUGGUUCACAUAACCAAACAAAGGAUUCCUUCAUGCAUAGCAAAACAUUCAUAAGCAUCACUCAUGUCAAUCAACAUAAACAUCAUACAUUUCAAUAUAUUAAUACAUAAGCCAACUAAGCUUUGAAGAGGUGUUAACAUGCAUUUUUCCAUUCGACACUUGCUACAAUGUGCCUCGGCAACUUACCUUUAUUCUCACCAACCAGGUGAUGAAGGAACUCACCUUUGUAUCACCAACCAAGUGAUGAAAAGUACAACUCAUACUCUAAUAUCCUUUGACAACUUGCCACUCUUUCCACCAACCAAGUGAUGAAGGCACUCAUCUUUGUAUCACCAACUAGGUUAUGAAGAGUACAACCAAUACUCUAAGAAACAAUUUUGAGUUUCAGCAACUUGCCACUCUUCUUAUCAACCAGGUUAUGAAGGAACUCACCUUCGUAUCACCAACCAGAUGAUGAAAAGCACAACCAGUACUCUAAUAAACAAUGCUGAGAUUCGACAACUUGCCAUUCUUCUUACCAACUAGGUGAUGAAGGAACUCACUUUCGUAUCACCAACUAGGUGGUGGAAGAUACAACUAGUACUUUAAUAAACAUUUUUGUCUCGGCAACUCACCGCUGUUUUCACAAAAUGGAUGAUGAAAGAACUUACCUUCUUUUCACCAACUAGGGAAUAACAGUACAUCAUGCACCUGUGGAUUCUUAACAUUCAUAAGCAGUCGAAAAUUUUCAAGCCUUACAACUCGGAAAAGGCAUAUACAAACUCAACAAAGCCUUCCACACUCUUGCUUAAUAGUGUGGAAGCAAAAUUGUAUUAUAUGGUUUAAUAAACCUUCAAUAGCUACAACACGUAGAUUGUCUUCUACACUCUUGCUCAAAAGUGUGGAAGCAAAAUUGUAUUAUAUGGUUUAACAAAUCUCCAACAAAUACAACAUGUAAAAUGCCUUCCACAUUCUUACUCAAGAGUGGGGAAGCAAAAUCUAUUUAUAUGGUUCCUCCGAACUUUCAACUACUACAACAUGUAGAUUGCUACCUUCCACACUCUUGCUCAAGAGUGUGGAAGCAAAAUUUAUAUAUGUGAUCUCACCCACAUUUUCUUGUCCCUAGUUCAAAAAUUAAAAAAAAAAAAAACUGCCAAAAAAAAAAUCUGCCAAAAAUAAAUAAAAAAAUCAUAAAUUAUUUAAUUAAUUGUUAAUUAAGCAAUUAAUUAAUUAUUAAUUAUGACAUGUGGAGAAGGCCAACAAAGCUUCAAACCAUAAGAGAUAACUACAACAUGUAGAUUGCCUUCCACACUCUUUCUCAAGAGUGUGGAAGCAAAAUCAACUUAUGAAGUCCUAUAAAGAGCUUCCCACACCUAAGGGAGAGAGCUUCCCACACCUAAGGGAGAGAGCUUUCCACACCCAAGGGUAUGAGCUUCCCACACCUAAGGGUACGAGCUUCCCAUACCCAAAGGAAUGAGCUUCCCACACCCAAGGGAGAGAGCUUCUCAUACCCUUGAAGGGAGAGAGCUUCCCACACCCAAAGGUAUGAGCUUCCCACACCCUUGAAGGGAGAGAGCUUUCCACACCUAAGGGAGAUAGCUUCCCUCAUCCAAGGGUAUGAGCUCCCCAUACACUUGAAGGGAGAAAGAUUCACACUUUGCGAGCUACACAAAAAUUCAAAAAGCCUUCCACACUCUUGAGUGUGGAAGCAAAAUCUAUUUAUGUGCUUCAAAAAAGCUUGAACCGAAUGCUUUAACAAAAAAAUUCAAAAAGCCUUCCACACUCUUCUUCAAGAGUGUGGAAGCAAAAUCUAUUUAUGUACUUCAAAAAAGCUUCAAUCGAAAGCUUUAACAAAAAAAUUCAAAAAGCCUUCCACACUCUUCUUCAAGAGUGUGGAAGCAAAAUCUAUUUGUGCUUCAAAAAAGCUUCAACCAAAAAGCUUUAACAAAAAAUUCAAAAAGCCUUCCACACUCUUGAAGAAGAGUGUGGAAGCAAAAUGUAUUUAUGUGCUUUUAACUGAAAGCUUCAACAAAUAAUUUCAACAAAGCCUUCCACAUUCUUCCUAAAGAGUGUGGAAGCAAAACCUAUUUAUAUAGUUUGUCUCACAUUAGAUCACUCAAGCUAUACCCAUACAGAAGAAAAAUCUAUUUAUGGACUGUAGGUCUAACUAGAAAAAAAAUAGGCUGAAAUCCCAAACAAAAUUAGAGAAUGAGCCCAAGCCCAUAAUGGGCUACUAGGCAGGCUGUUGAUGCAACAUGUCUAAAAUAAAUAAAAACGGUCUACGAGGUCCUAAGCCCAAAACUGGGGCUGAGGACAUUUGUUGUUGUUGUUGGUUUUUUUUUUUUUUUUUUUUUUUUGAAAUAAAACAAAUGGCCCAAAACAGAGGCCCAAAAACUGAAGGACAAUCUGUUUAAGCCCAAGACAAUGGGUUGGGCAUCGAGAUAAGGCCCAAGUCCUCAGGUCAGGUUAUGGACAUCCUAGCAAAACCUGGGUGUGUUGCUGUGGAUGAAACCAGGCACAGCGCUGUAGGCGGCGGCGAGUUCCGAGCAAAAUCGAACGGAUUUUCGAUAGGGAAGGUUCCAAAUAUCUGAGGAGUGAGAAAUCUCAAACUCCGCGGAGAUUUUGAAGGAAAACUCGAAGCUCUCGGAGAGGAGAUCGAACAAGAUCUAGCCAUCGACUUUCACCACUGUGACGACUUCAGGUCAUUAGAAAAUCAUGAGUCUCACUUGGAAAAGACUGCAGGUCAUCUAUGUUGUCAGAGAUCAUAUAUCUUGACAAAAAAUUGCACAAAGACGAUGAGGUGGACGAAAAAGACAACAUGAAGGACAAGUCGUUCAGGACCUUUGUGUCUAGCUUAGCACUAGCUUUGGCUUAGCGGCUGUAGCAUGAGCUGUAUGCUCAAGCUAGGGAUUUGUAGAUCAGGUCCAGUCUAAAGUAGACUAGGGCAUUUAAGCCCAUUAUGAGGUCUAGGGUUUCAACAUCCCUUUUUUUCUUUAUUCACACAUAUUUAAUUCACAUAAUAGCAAUAUUAUGAUUAUAAUGCAUAUACAAUUUAAGUAGAAUCUAAAAUUCGUAAAACGUAAAGUUGGGUCAUGUAUUAUGGUGAAGGUUCAUGCAAUCAAGGUUGACAAAUAUUGAGAUAAACAUUGUUGUUUUAGAAGAACUUGGAUUGCGUGAUGCAUAUUGGGAAUGGGUUUGUAGGAGUUCUUUCUUCGGGUUUCGGCUUUCCAUCUUCAAAGUUUGUAUCACGUUCAACACAAACAAAAUUUAAAAUUGAAUCAAUAAAAGUAUAUGAAUUCAAUAAAAUCAAAAUUUAAUUAAUUAAGAAUAAUUGAAACGUAAUACUCUCUUGAAUGAAGAAUAACCACGUCAUAUUCCUUAGCACAGCAGAGGAGCGUGCUGAUAACAUGUUGUGACCUAUAUUUAACUGAGGGGUGCGGCAUGGAGAGAAAGAGAGUGGAGAAUGGACUUGAGGAAUUGUGGGUUAAUUCCUCAAUCCUUGUGCCCUUAUUUAUAGUAAUAAGAAUGAAAGAAACUUGUUCUCCAAGUAAUACAAAGUUUAUUAGGAAAGAUCUUCUAGAUCUCAAAUGAUUCCUAAUCUAUCUCUACUUAGGAUUUACACAAUCACAAUAUGCAUUAGAACAUAUAUCACAACAUGUUGAUAAUAUGCAAACUGAUAAAUACAUUUAUAUAAGUUGGCUAAAAUAGAAAACAUAAAACCCCUAAUUCCCAUCACAUUCAUAUAACCUUAUAACCUGUGAAUUACCAAUUCUUUAAUUAUUUUUCUUAAUUAAACGUAAUUUCCCCCUGUAAUUUUUAUGCAUCUCAAAUAACCAAAUCUUAAGCUACAUCAUUAACGCCUUUGAACACUCUCUAUGUAAGAUAUCUUAGUUCUCCCCUCUUUUUUUAAUAUUUUUUUUAAGGGGAACAACUAGUGUUAAGUCACGAUUAUUCACCAUUCCAGGCCCGGAGUUCUCCCGUCACUAUUUCUAUUUUGGUUUUGAAUCUUUUUUAGUACAAAUUAUAUUCUACGGUGAUUUACAUUGAAAGGAAAGAGAAAAGUUUAAAAACAGAACACAAUAAAGUCAUAAUAACCAAGUCAAUUCACCACUUUAUAUUUAUAACAUAAAACCACAUAAAUCUAUCACACGCAUCAACAUGCCAGACUUAAUAUUUCCAUAACCCCAACAAAAAAGAAAAAGAAAAUCAGUAUUCACUCUUUAAUUAAACUCAACUUUAUACCCUUAGUUUGCUCAUGUCCACGUAAUUUGAGCGUCCUCAAGACAUGUGCCUGCAAAAGAACUAAUCUUCUUCAUUGACUUUUCCUCCUUUGUUCUAUAUGUCAAAAAAACUACCAGAUAUGUACCCUAUGUAUAAGAAAAAGAACAAUCUCUUUAAAAUUAAGAGAAUAAAAUAUGCAACUGUUGCUUAUUUGGUUAUUUAACCGUUAGUUGCAAAUUUACAAAAUGUAAAAUUAAUCAGCGCGCACACACACACACUUUCUUUGUGAAGUACAUGAGACUCCACUUGUAAUUUGGUAGCAAAAAUGAUAUCCAAUUCAUAUUUUCCUUUGCAAUUACAAGGAACAGGACUAGAGAUAAUCUAGAGGUCUAGACUAAAAUCCAAUCAACUAAUCUCUGUUGCUUGCAAAGUUGUUGCAGACAACGACCCAACAAAAUUUCUCAACGUUGAAGCAUGGAUUACUAUAUAAGGCAAUAAUUCCUGCCGGCAAGCACCAUAUUUUUGUCCAGAAUUGCUAAAAGUUUAGCAAACCUUGUGACUACCCAAAACCAUAUCAUCCUAAAAUAUCUCACAAUUUCUAGCUAGAUUUGUCAAUUGAGGCCCCCAUAUGAUAGAUGUUCAACACCUUACCAUAAAAUUUAAUUUUGUUGGUUAUUCUGAAUAAUUUAUUGAAUCCCACAACCACUCAAGCAAUAUUUUUCGAAGUAUCAAUUAAAGAAUUUAUUAAAUGCCAUUGCCGUUCCAAAAAGUCAUCCUCAAAAUAUGAAGUACUUCAACUCAUCAAUGCACAAUCAAUUUUUUUUUUAAUUAAAUACGUCGUAUAUAUAGGGCAUCAUACCAUCAUUGUAUUUGUCACUGAGAUUUGUAGAAUAUGAAAGCUAUGGAACAUGGAGGGUACUUGGUUAUUAUUGUUCUCCAUGUGACUGUUAGAAGAUGUAUAGCUAGCUGGGGUACGUUGAGUCAAUGGCAAAGAGAUGAUGUUACCAUGCCUAUAUGUAUAUACAAAUAGUGGUAUAUCAAGUCAAUUUUUCCUCUCUUGGUUAGGGUAAGCCUAACUUGACCUUUAUCCUUUGUAAGUGGAAAAAGAGUAAACUUACAUGUGCACAUAGUACUUUCAUGUCUGACCCGUGAUCGUCAGGCUAUCUCUUAUUUUGAUAUGAAUGACUAGUGCAAGAAGCUUAAACAAACUAAGCUACAAUCACCUUUCAGACAAUACUUAGCUAGCUAACCUAUCUAUUUCGAUGUUUGCAUAUACUUUUCUUGGCUCUAGUAUGAUUGAAUCAUGAGUAUGCUUGCAUAUACUCUUUUUUCGACCAAAAAAAAAAUGUACGAAUUAGUAGGUAUUUAAUUAAAUAAUAAAGAUCAUUAAUUGGUUUCAAUUGAAAUUUUACUAUUUAGCGGCAAUACUUAACUUCAGGAUAAUGUAGUAAUCACAAAAUUAUGCUUUCACAUGUCCCUUGACCAUGUAGGAAAAGUCUUGCAUUAUUCACGUGAUGCUGGUGCACAUGUUAUGGAAGUUACUACAAUGUGAUGAAAGUUACAAUAGGGAGAGGAAAAGUAGGAUGUGCAGAAGACAUAAACUGAAUGAGUAUGUAGAGUGUGGAGUUUUGAUUCAUGUAUCACCCAUGUAGUGCAAUGUUACAAGCCAUAAAACAUAUAUAUCUUUAGUAUAGGGGCGUAAGUUGGAUUAGAAGUUUUGAUUCCAAACUAAAACAUAUUGAUUUUGAAGCAGCAAAGACCAGAUCAAGAGAAGCGAUUAGACUCGGAUCUCUGGAUAAGAGAAGCAUUAAUCGCGGAUCAAAACUCGGACCUUAUAGUCUAUACAGUUUGAUCAACAUGGUCAAAAUGACCUACAUGAUCUGGAUCAGAUCGUCUAAGGUACCAUCAGAAUAAGUCAAUCUAAUAAGCACCUGAACGGUAGACAAGAUGUCCACAAAGAUCUGUUGCGACAAAAUAGAAUUUGAGGCGUCGUCAUGAUCAUCAUCUGAUCUUGCUAGCUAUGGUAGGUUUAUAGGAUAAUUAUAUCUUUGUCCCCUCACGUGCGAGGCACAUGUGUUUUUUAACAAUCUCUUAUUAAUUGUCUUGAAUUGGCAAACGAAUGUAAACACAAAGAUCAAUUUGGCCAAAUUGAAAACACGAAUACUUAAAUUAACACAGAGAUUAUUUUAACAUUUAAGUCUUUAUUCUUAUUAAUAUAAAUUAAAAGUGGAACAUAAAUUAGUCAACCACCUUUAUUAUAAGGGAACUUUAACGAAAAGCUCCCGGUACUGUUCAUUUUAACGAAAAACCAUAUUUUUACACUAAAAAGUCAAUCUUGGUACUAUUCAGUUUACCCUUUAUUUUGUCCUUAUUGUUAAAACUCAAAGUUUUCAAACCAUUUUCAUUAGUUUUCCUUUAUUAUAAUUCUAUAAAAAAAAUUUUCCCAAAACUCAAGAGUAUAAAAAUAUCUCCCAAAAAUCAGGGUCCAAUACUAAAUCAUAGCUAGUGACUAUAUAUGAUCUAGUUAAAACUAUUUUAUGUGUAAAAAAAAAAUUGUACAAACACGCAUGUAGUCCAAUAUUCUAGUAGAUAUGAUGUUGAGUUUCUAUCUAUACGUCCUGAGUUUAAAACUCUCCCCAUUCCCCUAAAUUAUUGUAAUAGUUUCAUGCCCUUCCCCCUUCCCCUAAUAUAUUAAAUUUAACACAAUUGAUGUUCCAUAUAUUAUACAAAGUUUAUCACCAUCAUUUGGAGUUUUUCAAUUGGGUAGCUUAAAGAGAUCAUCAAUAUUCGGGACAAACUAUUAAGUUAGAAUGUGAGCAUCUACCCAAUUGAUAGUGGGUAAACUAGAACUUAAUAUAAGAAUAUAUAUAUAUAUAUAUAUAUAUAUAUAUAUAUAUAUAUAUAUAUAUAUAUAUAUUCUUUGUGGGAUAUCCCAACACAACUCUUUAUGUGUAGCAUUUAUUGUGACUAGCGUGUGGACAUAUAACCUGACCAUGAUACAUUUUAGCAUCUGAAGGUGUCCAAAAUAAAUUGGUAAUACGUGAAAAGUCAAGAUCUUAUAAGAGGCAAUAGAGGACUAGGUUGGCCCUUUUAGACAGAUAGAGAUAACACCGAUUUACUGACCUAAUGAAAGACUUCCAUCUCUAACGUGUGAUGCUCUUAACAUGAAGGUGUAUGAUGAUGAAGAUAUAAAGCUUUUUACAUGAUUAUAAAUGUGAGGAUAAGGGUUGCCAGUGCCAAACAUGUUUAUACUAUUACGAUGAUGAGAUCGGGCAUAAUUCCACAUUAAAGGCCUAAUUUCCUCCUUCCCCUCUAACAGACUUGGGCAAAGUCACAAUUGCAUGACCUCUCACAUGUGAAACAAAAGUGGCUAGCCUCUGUUAGUUAGCAUAUUAUAAUUCAUAUGACACGUAAUCGCAUAAGUUGGGUAGAGCAUACCAAAUUCUGCAAAGUGCAUGCGUGAGAGAGCUCCACACAACAUGCAAAAACAUUGGCCCUUAAGAAUUGAUCUUAAUCACAUUUUCUUUUGCAACACAUCAUUAUCAAACUGAAAUUACAAUGAUGGAUUUAUCUAGCUAGCUAGCUAGCUUGUGGGUUUGCGUUUCUAAGUUGGUCACAUACGAAAGCAUGGAAUGGAUAUGGAUUCAUAGCUUUCUUUGAUUACAAGAUUCCUCUGUGCACUGCAUUCAUGCAUCAGCCUUUACCUGGCCUAAGUGACUUGUAGUGACCAACUUUCGACCACCUUUCACAAACCUUCUAUAAAUUCUCAUGAAUUACAACAUUUUUAGCCAUGGGGUUGGAUUUUUUUACUUGGUUGAUUUGUGACGUGCACUUUGUCAUCUUUAAAUUGCUUGUCACACUCACAUACAUAAAUGCAAAUGCAAGCAAGCUAGAUAGUGUAAUUCUGAUUGAACUGGAACCAUCAAAUUAUAGUCAAAGAUAUACAUGUGGUCGAUGUCAGUAAAACUAUAUAGAUCGACCAAAAGUAUCAUGAAUCUCCAAACCAGAACGAAAGGUCAUGAAUGUUUAUCCGAUUUGUACAUACACAGCUAGGUUUUCUCUGCACGAGGUUAUAGCCACAAAAUGAUGCUUACGCAACAGAUAAUUGACAUAGACAGUGAUAUAAUUGCAUUUAUAUUCUAUGAACCUAAAUAGUAAUGAUAAAAUAUAGGGAUGUUUAGUCACUAUUUUGUCUCGUCGAUCAGGUGUUGGAGAUUGGUACCCCGUACCAUCCAAUCACUCCCGGUUAAAAAUCAACAAUAUGUACGUUUAAUUUCUAGAAAUAGCCUGCAAUAUUGGAAGCUCACAGAAACCCCCAAGUUCUCUCAAGAUUUAUCAGUAUAAUUAAGCAUUCACCAUGCAACGACAGAAAUUAUGGCUGCCCUAAUUUUUUUUUUUAAAUUUGAGCCAGCAGGAAAUUAAUGUCCUGAUGAUUUCUGAUGAUCUAAGCGAUACAAGUAUCUCGCAAAUUUCGGUUUAGUGUGCUCCGGAUCUGCUUUGCACCUAAGUUCUAAUCCACUUUUAUAAUUUAGAUUAAUGUAGUGUUAAACAGCCGUUUGCAUUAAAGAAAAAACCAGUAGAAGUAUUUUUGGAAAUAUAGCUGGCACUUCCAGCACUGUGAUCUUAGAAUAAAAGACAUAUAUGCGUUUAUUCUUACAAACCCUUGUGGACUGGAAUUUUACUUUGCGUUUUUUUUUUUUUUUUUUUUUUGCUCCAUAAAAUCUGUCAAUUUGAAGAGGAGAAACAAAAGAGAAGGAAUAUACAUAUUGGAAAAAAAAUCAAAAAAAUGCAUAACCAAAAGACUCUUGUCAAGAUUCCAUCUUCUACUAAUUAGUGAUGUAUUUAUAAAAACCUAACUCUGAACAAACAAGAAAACAAUUGCAAACCCUAAAAAAUAAAAAUAAAAUAAUUAUAAUAUUUCUCCUAGUUACUAUAAAACCUUAAGCCAUUAAAUACUAGAAAUAGUCAAACAUAAAAAUCAACCAAAUUACUAACUUGAUCACUUUUCCAACAAUGUGUGUGUAUAUAUAUAUUUCACACAAGGAGGGUGUGUGUGGUAAUAAUAAGUCAAGAAGCAUAGCUUAACAAAACUAAUCAAGGUUGUGUUAGGUGGCUAGAUCUUGCUUAGCCUCAUACGUGGUAUGAGACAAAUUAUGAGUUGGGGCCGGGUUGCUUUCCCUAAUUGUCAUGUUUAAGCCAAAUUGAAAAUAUUUGUUGCGUAGUACAAUCACUUGCCAAAUUUUCUAAUGAGGGCAGCAUGAUAGGCCACUUUCAUGAGCAAAGAUAGUAUGAUCAAAUAGAUGUGAAAAGCCUCUCCACGUUGAACGUCAUCGAUGUACCUUUCAAGCUGAUCCUAAAUGCGAUCUUCUUAUGCAUACAAAUUUAGUCAGCAUUUUCCUUCUCUCUGUGAAUGUGAAAUUUUUGAAUUGCUUGUGGUUUGAGUACUUUACUUUCAUCAAAGAUCUAUAUAUCCGGUUCCUCGGCCUUAAAAAGUACAAAUACAAACAUCUCAUAUAACGAAAUAGAGGUUAAUUAAAGUUUAUUUUUCACCCAUCUAUCCAUAUUUGUUUAGGGAAAGAUGUGUUAUAAUACUGAUAUACAUAUAUCAAAAUAAAUUGGGAGUAUUUGCAAAUUCCGUUUAAGGCCUUGCCACCAAAUGAGAAUUGAAAAAGAAAUAAACAUGGUUAAUGUUAAAUUAGUAUCUUCAAGGUUCAUAAAACAUAUACAAAGAAAUGAAAAAAAUUGAUCACUUUCUUCAUGUAAUACCAGUUAAUAGUUUAAUUAAUCGUAUCAAAAUCAAAUCACUUGUGUUUAACAUUAACAUUUGCAACAUAAAAAACCACUAACAUGACCUAUUUGCUAUUGGUGUUAGCAGCUGGCCGUGUCGUAGACAAGUUCGUGCUAGUCAUUGUCUACACGAAACAGCUAAUUAACGUUUUGAGUUUGAGCUAUGAUAUCAUGCCAUCCAUGUGAAUGAUUGUUCUCCUAAUUUAAACUAUAAUAUCAAGUGGAGGGUGGAGUGCGUCACCAAUAACACAUUUUAGUGCUUGAGUGUGUAAAGAUUAAGUGUAUCAACACUAAAGAUAGAGUCAAGAAGAAAGUCAAGAUGGUCGUAAGUAUUUGGAAGUCUAAGUUAGCAGAACAAGUUUCUUGACCCAAGCUUACAAGUAGUUUGAAUCUGGUGUGCCAAAGAUAUGGUUUAGAACAUAUCUAGGAAGAUCACUGAAUAUGAUUAGAACUCAGUUAGACAUAAGUUGCAAGGGGAAGCACCAAGACAGACAAAGUCCAUGCAUGACUAGGAUGAAUAGCUGCUUAGGGGAUAAAAAUACGUCCAAUUGACAGAAACCUCCAAUAAAACUGGAUAUAACUUGGGAUAUAACUUGGUUUUCCAGUCGAAGAUAGAGACCUAUCUACCAAGGCGAUCCACCACUUCCAUUAUUUCUUUCCAAAGAACAUCUUUCAUUUCUGUAAUUAAAAUAUGGUGGAAUUCUCGCUUAUACUAGUCUACUCUUUUCCCUUGCGGCCCACGCGUGCACAUGUCCCUCAAGCUGACGUGGGCUACUCUUGCCCUUUUCUACCGUUUCGGUGGGCUAACAAUGAGUGACAAAUAAUCAAGCGGAUCCAUAAUAAUUCAGAUCUGGGCCCAAAAUGAUAAUGAGGUGAGGGCAUCAAGGGUUAGCCCACAUGACAAGCCCUAGUUAUUAGGUUAUGAAAUAAUUUCAAGUAAUUGCUGGCGAACUCAGAUGAGUGGAGUUUUAACAGAAAACCCUGGCAAACUCUUUUCUUAAUAUAGAAAAAGUGUCGUGGUAAGAAUUAUAGCACAAGUGUGAUUUUAUAGUUUCGGGUAGAUUGUAUUUAGGAUUCCUAUGUAAUAUGGAAGAUUUUGGGCCUUCUUACUUGUAGGGCAAAUAAGUAUGUAAUAUUUCAUACAUCUCUCUUUUCUCUUUCUGUGCCACCGCACUCUCUCUCUCUCAUUCAGUUAAGUUUAGGCCACAACAAAAAUAAUAUUGUUAUCAAAGCAUGAAAUUCAGUAUCUUCAAUAGCUUAGAAAUAUUAUAACAAGGUGGAUCUGGAGAAAGUGUCAUCAACGUGUUUAUAAGUAGUAAUGGACUGAAGUGCUUCUAAAUGAGCAAUUCCAAACAGGCCCUUAAACUUUCAACUGAAUUUCUUCACGCAGCAUUGUGCCGAUUAAAAUAGUACUUGUAUUUUUAAUAAAUAAAUUCAACGUAUUUAUAACAAAAGCACUUCUAGCAUAAGCACUAAUAGACAAUAGUGUCUUUUGAAAAACUUUUGAAAUUACAAAAAUACCUCAUACCACUCCUCUAGUCGUAGACUAAUUAUGUCUUGGUCGACAUUGAUUUUUAAGGCAACAACUCUAUCGGCUUAGACCUACUCAUCCACCAUGUAAAUAAACUAAGUGAUGGAUUGUCAUGGUACUAGAAGAAAAAAGGUCAUCUACCACGGUGCAUGCCCAUUGUAGAUCGAAAUCCAUCACGGACAAUCUGCCCGUUAGUAUUCUGGAUACGAUAAUUAUGCAUGUUUUCAACUCAUUACCUCCCAAGUCUAGACCCUCCUUCAAUAGUUUAAAUGAAUCUAGGGUAGAUUAUACCAUCAUUUGAAAAGAUAAAUUUCCAAAAAAUGUAUAUGACUUGAUCCAACCGAUAAAAUCAUUAGAAACAGUUCUAUUCUUUUGGGAGGACCAUAACACUUCUAUUCAUUUGGGAGGACCAUAUAUAGGUUAACUUUUCUAAAUGCUUUGGGACUUUAAGGUCGAUCAAAUGAGUCUACUUGAAUCAAUACCCUUCUUAUUCCAUACGAACAUAGAAAGAGACAAAAGCAUAUGCGUACAAUGCAUUUUUUAAACUUAUUUAAUUUUUGUUUAUUUGUAAGAUGAAUGGAGAGCAAAUGAGGGAGAGAUUUUUCAGCCUGAUCAAAACAGAGUUGUACAUUACAUGUUAUUAUAUAAUUGAAAAAAAAAUUUAUUUUUUCAAAUAGUUAUUUAUUUAUAUAAUAAUAUAUAAUGUACCACUUUAUGUUCCCAACACAUUAAAAAAUCUUUCGCAGAGCAGGACCGAGUCAUCUUCCAUGCAACGUACGAACACGCCACCAAGUUCCUUUAUAUUGUAGAAACUUGCACGAUUAAAACUGUUCUACUCAUAGCUUUGAAUAAAAAAUAUUAAAGGAAAAAAGUUCGACAGAAAAGUCAAGGUGUCACAUUGACCACACGUGCAAGCAAAGAAUCAAAGAAUCAACGGUCAAAUGGUCAAUACAAAUCUAAAGAGUGGACACAUUUUUUUGGAAGAGGAAUAUGAUUGGCAGGCAUCUGAUUGGCAUCUGAUGGGAAUGAUCCCAAAGUAAUUAAGUACAGCUUUUCUUGGAGGAUAUCCAAUCUUUCAAAGUAAUUAAGGACUUAGCCAAUAGCCAUGCGACGAAUGGACGUUUCUCUCCUUUCUUUUGAUUCAUCAUCACUUUCAUAUGGGUCGCCCAUGAUUUCACAAGUUAGUCGAUCUUUGUUUAAUAGUAGGCAAAUUAAUUUGAUGGGUCACAUAAGGAAAAUCUUGCUCUAUAGAUAAUUUGAGUAGGCAAACUUUAUCUACUUUCAACAUAAAUAAUGUUGCCUAUUUUGAAGUGAAUGGGUAUAUCGAGCUCACAUAACUUUUAAAAAUAAAUAAAAAUUUCUAUGUGGUUCUUGAAUGACGUUAGGUGAAUAAAGAAGCCUACUGGUGUAGAAUGUCGAGCUUGUGCAUUUUUUGCACAUGCAUUGCAGAAAAUACAUCCUUAAUUAAAAAAAAAACCUUUAUAUUACAAAAAGUUGACAACUACUUCUCAUGGUAGUCUCUCAGUUCCAACAUCAAUCAAUGUGUUCCAUGCAUUAAUGUUGUCCUUCCAUUUGAAUUCCAUCCAAAUCUUUGUUAGGUUCAAAUGUUUGUUAGUUUGCUAAUAUAGCUCAUAAGUGGAGCCGACUAAUCCAAUUUGUUUUUCGCCAAGUGGAUUCUAAAGAAAAAAUCAAUUUUUCUAAGGACUAGGGAAGGAAGAGAGAUGGGGGUGGGGAGGGGUGGGCGUAAAAGGUUCAAAGGGUUGCAAGGGUGACGGGUCAAAAGUUUGAAGAGUUGAUGAGGAGGGGGUGGAGGAAUGAGGAUCCUCUCUGGAUACAUUAUGAUCAUUCAUCGUACAUCGUGCGGUCAGUUUUCGUUAGGUACUAUUUGUGUUUAAUUUUAAAUAAAUAAAUUCAAAAUGAUUUCUGACCGCACGAUGUACGAUAAAUGGUUAGAAUGUAAGGAUCCUUAGAAUCCCCACAGCUUGGAUCCGAAUGGGAUCCAUCUCCGGGGUGGAGGAUCAAAGGGUCCAACAGAAAGGCGUGGGUCGACUAGUCGAACGAUCGAUGGGGUGGCUGCCUGGCUGGGUGGCGCGGAUCUGGAGCAUAGGUAGUGGAUAAGAGGCUUCGCCCUUGUGUUAGGUGGGAAAGAUGGUGCGAAAGAAACUCCUUUUUUUCAGUGCGUAUUCUUUAUCAUUGGCAUCCGAGUUUGGUAAAGAAUACGCACUGUGAAAAGGAGUUUCUUUCUUCUGAUGAGGAACUACUUGACCUACAACUUUCGCUCAUUCAAUGAAGGGGUGGUCCCUCAAGUCUCAACGUGGAAAUUUACACCAGAGCAAAUUAGAGGGUUCACUUGGCCUUCUUAUUGUUUGUACACGUGUUACCUUUUGCAAUCUGCAAGAAGCUUUAUUUGACGUGCCACCUGUAUGCAUGUUCUACAAGACAAUAAGUUAUAGCUAGGUGACGGUUUAGUAGGCGAAUUAAGUAAAUAUAUUAUGUUAUAUAAAUAAAUGUCUAUUACAAUUAAAAUUAUAAUUCAAAAACCUCAUAAUUCUAUUUCAAUAACCAAUUAACUCGUUAAUUAGAAAAACUUAAUUACCUAAUUAAUUAAUUUUAAAAAAAUAUACUUGGAACCGCCUAAUGUGCUGCCUAAAUUGCCUAGACCAACUAGACCACCUAGGCGGUUGCCUAGUCCCUCCCCAAUUUUAGGACACUGCCUGUAUGUAACUUGCAUGUCUCGUCUAGUGCAUACAAGAAAAACUCAAUGCAUAUGAAUAACUAGCCAACUUUUAGAAGCAAAUUCCAAAUUGGUCUUAAUCAUUUAAAACAUUUCAAAUAACUACCGAAUGUUUUAAAAGUUGGACAUCCGUUAGGUCAUCAAUGCUAAAUGAUCACUAGAACAAGUAUUAGAGUGGGAUUUCACUCUCAUGUCUAUAGAGCUCCAAAUCAAUUGCUUUUAACUAGAGACAGUUAGUGUUUAAAACUUGGUGAAGAGGGUCCAUUAUGGGAUUCUUUUUUUUUUUUUUUUUUUUUGAAAGCGGUCCAUUAUGGGAUUUAAACUCUAUAGAUGACGUAUUAGUGAAAAUUAUAUUCAGUAUUAGUUCAGACCAUGAUUUAACAUUAAUGACAUCAUCAAUUAACAGUAAUAACAUCAUCACUUAAUGAUGGUAACCUAACAAGUGUUCAUUUUUCAAAACGUAAGAUAGUUAUUUGAAAUGUUUCAAAAGGUUAUGAACAAUUAAGAAUGAGCUCCAAAGGUUGGGUAAUUACUUAUACUUAACCCUAUACAAUAAGCUUUUUAACCAAAUAUUUUUAUUAAAUUUAUAUAAACUAUAGAGACGAAUAUUGAAAUUUGAAUGUACAUUAAACUGUUUGUGAUGGAAAUGCAUUAAAAAGUUCAAUCCACAAUUAUCUUUUAAGCCUUGUGUUAAUCGCAUUAUGCAUGGUCUUUUUUAAGGUACAGUCUAAUCCAUCUUGUCCUCACUUGAGAUUUGGAAGGGAUGUAAUUUAUUCAAAGAUAAGAGAUAAGGGUCAUCACUCACAGAAUUGAAUGGUAAGUAGCCAGUUUUUUCAGACAGGUGGCAAACAUUCUAAAUCUAACGGCAGUGGAUUUGUUGCCAAAACAAGCAAACAAGAAGGGGCAGUAGUCAUCAUUUAAUUUGAUGCUAUCCAUUUCUCUGGACUGCUAUUCGUUAAGAACAAAAGAAUUCCUUCAGCAUAUUGUUAGACCUAAAUCUCCAUUGAAGUGACGAAUGUCAAUGUCAUCACUUAAUCAGAGUUGGAGACCUAAAUGCUCUUUGAACAAUGAUUCCAAAUGUACCAUUUCUAGCCCCCUUUGACGAAUAUACCUUUAAUUUAUUGUUAAUGUUAUCAAUAUAUAUACUUUGAUAUUGUAUCAAUUUAAAUCUUAAUGUUACAAAUCAAUGUUGUGUUUAUAUAUUAUCGAUAUACUAUCAAUAUACAAUUGUUAUUGUAUUCAUAUUUUGUCACUAUUGUAUCUAUAGCGUUGAGCGAAGGCUAGUGCAAAGGAUAUGGUUGUAGCCUGAGGCUUUGUAAUCGGACUUUUUUGUUUGUGUUUGUGGUGGAGAGGGGGGGGGGACAAGAUGCCGAGGAUCCGGGUAAAAAACCGAAAACAAAAUGAUUUUAUUUAUUGGUAUUGGAAAGACCAAAAGGAACCAAACCAUUCCAUUAAAAGAUAGAUUAUCAAUUUGAUACAAAGAAGAUAGAAUUUUCAAAAAAUAAAUUUAUAGAUAUUGGAUCUAACGAAGGACAUGACACAGGAUCGAGCACAAUGGCGUUCUAAGAUUCAUAUAGCCGAUCCCACUCAGUGACUUGGAUUUUCCAAGUCUCCAACCGAGAAGUUUUCCUCACUCGGGAAAUUAAGGGAACACUACCCCAACCUACAUGCUCCACUCAGAAAGCUUCAACAUACAAGCUUCAACAAAAGAAAAUUCAAAGAACUUAGCGAAGAAGGCUUUGGUGUAUUUAACACAAUACGUUGAAAUGAAGGAAAGCUUAUUUAUUGAUAUCCCCGAUAAGCUACAAAUAUGUACAUAUACAUGAGUCAAAAUAAAACACACAAGAGGGAGCCUUCACAAAGGUUGCUUAGGAGAAGUCUCAGCAGUCGGUAGAGCCCCAGAAAGAGAAGGCACCGGAGGGGGAUCAUUUGGAGCCUCAGUACUGGACAGAACCCUAGAAGGAGGAGGCAUCAGAGGUUGAUCAUUUGGAGCUUCAUUACGCGGUACAGCCCCAGAAGACGAAGGCAAUAAAUGCCUUUGGAACAAACCCACAAAUCUCUGAUGAUCAAGUAAAACCUGACCAUCAGUUUCCUUCAUCUGGUCAAGCUUCCUCUUCAUGUUUGUAGCAUAGUCAUGUGCGAGCCGGUGCAACUGUUUAUUCUCAUGCUUGAGCCCUCUAAUCUCCUGUUUGAGACUCAUCACUUCAGCCGCCAAUGAUUCAACUUGGCGGGUUCGAGCAAAUAGGCGUUGGGCCAUAUUAGACACAGAACCUGCACACUGAACACUGAGAGCCAGCGAAUCCUUAACAGCUAACUCAUCAGACCGUUUGGAAAGUAGUCUGUUAUCUUUGGGAGUGAGAAGGUUCCUGGCCACCACCGCAGCGGUCAUAUCAUUCUUCAUCACGGAAUCCCCAACGGUAAGAGGACCAGUAGGGGAGACGAAGGAUGGGCGCCAUAUGUUGUCUGGAGAAGGCGGGGCUGCCUCUUCAACAAGGUUCAAGUCAAAACGACGGUCGGAGGGGCCAGACAUUUUCAAAGGUGUUGAAGAGAGAAGAGGUCGGACAAAUCAAGAUCUUAGAAGUGCAAGAAUGAAGCUUCUACUGGUGGAGAUUCAAGUGUGCUUUGGAACUUAAUGCCAGCCCCUAUAUAAAAAUCUGCACUCGACGGAGCUUCAGAAAUCGAAGAGGCGCCUGCUCAGAAAUCGAAGAGGCGUUUGCUUUUCUCAAAAGCUGGGCUGCUUAGAGAUCACGAGGGUUGAUCUCAGAAAUCGAAGAGGCGUUUGCUUUUCUCAAAAGUUGGGCUGCUCAAAGACCACGAAGGCCGAUCUCAGAAAUCGAAGAGGCGCUCGCUUUCUCAAAAGCUGGGCUCCCCAGAGACCACGAGGGCCGAUCUCAGAAAUCGAAGAGGCACCUACUUUUCCAGCCUUGUCAGCACCUGUCACACGCACACUCAGCUUUGCGGAAAUUAUGGGCAUUCUGUCGAAGACUUCUGGGGAAGUAGAAAACACAUGAAUCUUACUGUUCAAUCACCCACUUCCCACACGCAACAAUAGCUCAUGGGUACCACAGAUAACUUUGCCAAAGUUCUCUGCCAAAGUUGAGCACGUGAAGCUUGCAGCUCCCACUACAUCGCUCUGACCAAGAAGGGUAAAAGAAUAGCAAAGAAACAGCACUAACAAAGUUUAGACCCAUAAAUUUUGAAGGUCUAGCUACCAUAUUAUUACCCACAAGGGUAAAGGAACAGUACCACUGCUGGAUAAUUGGAAAGUCCCUGUGUGUCAACCUCUGUGCUUCGUGGCAAGGUAGACUAGCAAACAUGCCCAACCUUUACUCACAUUCGAGAAAACACUCCCAAUAAGAUUGCUUGCUCCAAAAUCGAAGAGGCACCGUCCUCCGAAUCUCGAGAGCCAGACUCCCAACAUGACUACUUUCUUAAAAAUCGAAGAGAGGGUAAAGGAACAGUACCAUUGCUGGAUAAUUGGAAAGUCCCUGUGUGUCAACCUCUGUGCUUCGUGGCAAGGUAGACUAGCAAACAUGCCCAACCUUUACUCACAUUCGAGAAAACACUCCCAACAAGAUUGCUUGCUCCAAAAUCGAAGAGGCACCGCCCUCCGAAUCUCGAGAGCCAGACUCCCAACAUGAUUACUUUCUCAAAAAUCGAAGAGACACUGCUCCCCGAAUCUUCGAGAGCCAGACCCCCAGCAUGAUUGCUUUCUCAAAAAAUCGAUGAGGCAUCGUUCUCCGAAUCAAUCGAAGAGGCGCUCGCUUUCUCAAAAGCUGGGCUGCUCAGAGACCACGAGGGCCGAUCUCAGAAAUCGAAGAGGCACCUACUUUUCUAGCCUUGUCAGCACCUGUCACACGCACACUCAGCUUUGCAGAAAUUAUGGGCAUUCUGUCGAAGACUUCUGGUGAAGUAGAAAGCACAUGAAUCUUACUGUUCAAUCACCCACUUCCCACACGCAACAAUAGCUCAUGGGUACCACAGAUAACUUUGCCAAAGUUCUCUGCCAAAGUUGAGCACGUGAAGCUUGCAGCUCCCACUACAUCGCUCUGACCAAGAAAGGUAAAAGAAUAGCAAAGAAACAGCACUAACAAAGUUUAGACACAUAAAUUUUGAAGGUCUAGCUACCAUAUUAUUACCCACAAGGGUAAAGGAACAGUACCACUGCUGGAUAAUUGGAAAGUCCCUGUGUGUCAACCUCUGUGCUUCGUGGCAAGGUAGACUAGCAAACAUGCCCAACCUUUACUCACAUUCGAGAAAACACUCCCAACAAGAUUGCUUGCUCCAAAAUCGAAGAGGCACCGUCCUCCGAAUCUCGAGAGCCAGACUCCCAACAUGACUACUUUCUCAAAAUCGAAGAGAGGGUAAAGGAACAGUACCAUUGCUGGAUAAUUGGAAAGUCCCUGUGUGUCAACCUUUGUGCUUCGUGGCAAGGUAGACUAGCAAACAUGCCCAACCUUUACUCACAUUCGAGACAACACUCCCAACAAGAUUGCUUGCUCCAAAAUCGAAGAGGCACCGCCCUCCGAAUCUCGAGAGCCAGACUCCCAACAUGAUUACUUCCUCAAAAAUCGAAAGAGACACUGCUCUCCGAAUCUCGAGAGCCAGACCCCCAGCAUGAUUGCUUUCUCAAAAAUCGAAGAGGCAUCGUUCUCCGAAUCUCGAGAGCCAGAUACCACAGACCACUUUUUCAAAGUGCUCUGACAGAGUUAAAACAUGUGAAACUGGCAGCUCCCACUACCGUGCUAUGACCAAGCAGGGUAAAGGAAUAGCAUUACUACUUGUUGUUAGGGAGACUCCUAUAUAUGUCGACCUCCAUCCCCAACGGACAGGCAGACCUGCAAAAAAAUGCUCAACCCUUCAUCAUAUCUGAGAGGGCACUCCCAACGAAGCCUUUCGAAAUAUUCAGCUUUCUUUCCCCCCGAUAAUACCUCUGCAAACAAGCUAUACUAGAGCAAGAAUAUCUCAUAUCAUCAGGGUUAAAAGCAAGAGUAUCCCAUAUCAUGCUUUUUCCCUGUCUUUUCCUUUUGGCCUUGUUUUUACCUGCAAGACAAGGAGAAAGAGAGCAAUCAGUCAGCACUUGGAAUCAAGCUUCCAGCCAGGAACUGACUGCCUGGAACCCCUUACCUGAUUACUUACCUGGCAUUGCUCUCGAGUACUCAUCUUCAACAUCUUAUGUUUCCAGGGAAGAUUCCGCAUCUGCUUGAGGAACAGAUAGGGCAAGUGCGAAGGAUACAAGGAAGCAUGUGGAGACAAGCGUAACAGCACACGUGCCGAUACAUCCAUUACUCUGUCAAAAGCAAAAGUAUCCCAUAUCAGCAGGGUGGAACGUACUCUAGAUUUGAUGGACUUGUUUUGACCCUCAAAUUCUUCAGUCGGCCUUAUACUCUGGAGGAAACCAGAAAACCCUCCAGCUCAGUUCAAGAAUAAGCCUGUGGAAAGUUACUUCUUCAAAAGCAAAAGUAUCUCAUAUCAUCUCUUCUCAUUUUUCUUCUCUUUAUCCUUCAUGCUGCUGCAAGAUGGGGAGAAGGUGAACAAUCAGUCGGAGCUCUGAUUGCUUACCUUGUCUGUCACCUCUUUCAGCAGACCCCCUAGCUCGGCGACUUGGGGGACUCCUACUACAUGGUUUGUAUCGCGCUUGACCAAGCCUGAAACUACAAGUAAGCUUCAAGUGAAAUUGAUACAUUACCUUGUGCAUCUCCACCAGUUAAAGAUACCACCCCUGGAUGGAGGAAGAGUACUUCCAGAGAAGAUGCCACAUCUACCUAUGAGACAGAUAAGGCAAGUCAAGACGACACCACACUCCGAUACUUAGAAGUUUCGUGAUUACGAGAUCAUUCUCCCACAAUAUUUCCUAAUGUCAUUUGUACUAAAUCAUUCACUUGUACUCACUAAAGGAGAGCUUGAACCUAUGUACUUGUGUAAACCCUUCACAAUUAAUGAGAACUCUUCUAUUCCGUGGACGUAGCCAAUCUGGGUGAACCACGUACAUCUUGUGUUUGCUUUCCUAUCUCUAUCCAUUUAUAUACUUAUCCACACUAAUGACCGGAGCAAUCUAGCGAAGAUCACAAAAAGCGACCGUUUUCGCUACCUAGGAUCUAUCUUGCAAGAGAACGGAGAAUUAGAUGGAGAUCUCAACCAUAGAAUACGAGCUGGAUGGAUGAAGUGUAAGAGUGCAUCCGGCGUGUUGUGUGACCGUCGUAGGCCACUGAAGCUCAAGGGAAAAAUUUUAUAGGACGGCAAUAAGGCCAGCGAUGUUGUAUGGCACAGAAUGUUGGGCGGUGAAGCAUCAACACGUACACAAAAUGGGUGUAGCGGAGAUGAGGAUGCUUCGUGGGAUGUGUGGGCACACGAGAAAGGAUAAGAUUGGGAAUGAGGAUAUCCGAGGUAAAGUAGGAGUAGCCGAAAUUGUAGGAAAGAUGAGAGAAAAUCGGCUCCGGUGAUUUGGACAUGUGCAAAGAAGGCCGACUGACGCUCCGGUUCGAAGAUGUGACUACGGGACAGAGGUUCAGGGCCGAAGGGGUAGAGGAAGACCUAGGAAAACUUUGGAAGAGACUCUAAGAAAAGACUUAGAGUACUUGGAUCUAACGGAGGACAUGACACAAAACCGAACGCAAUGGCGUUCUAGGAUUCAUAUAGCCGACCCCACUUAGUGGGAAAAGGCUUUGUUGUUGUUGUACUGUUAUUACUAAUUUAGACAUAUUAACAUCUCAUUUGGAGAUGCUUUAAAGCCACUUAUCCUGAACAUACAUAAUAAUUGGACGAUUUUGUAAUAUUAGCGUUCAUUUCUUAUGUUACAAAUGGUAUUUCUGCUCCAAGAUAGACUUAAGCUAAGAUUACAUUAAAAAAAGCAAAAUUAAAUUAAGCUAGACUAAAAAGAGACGCUUUAGGACGAGGAUUGAGUUGAAAGUUAAAAAGAAUAGGAUGACGCAAUUAUAAUUUGAUUUGGUGACAAAUCAACAAUCACCGUUAGAAUUUGACUUUUGAAAGAAUACUAUUUCCCAUGAAUGGCAGAAGCUGCAAAUUUUGACCGGUUUUUCUCUGACAACUGGAUAUUACAUUCUAACUGCCGUAAUUUUGUUAUACAAAGAUUCUUUGUUUCGAGUUGGUUGAAUCUGCGGCCUCAAACUAGCAAAAACAACGGACAAAUCUCCAUCCACUUUUUUCAUGCCACCCCCUCCCAGACUUUUUUUUUAUAAUUUAACCCCAAAAUGUUAGCCCAAAAAAUCCAAAUUAUUUACAGAAAUGCACUCCUACGUGGAUUUUCUACCCAAAUGCACUCCCUCGGGCCUCGGUCCUUUGCUGCUUCCAUUUAUUUUCGACUUCUGGCUUUUGCCUUUACUGCCAAUGCCCGAACCCGCUGGGCCGGACCGGGUAACAAACGUUCUGAGAGUGUUGCUGGAAGAAGUUGGAGUUAUCCACCCGCUGAGUUCUGAGUCCGCUCUGCACCUCCUCCUCCGCCGUCUUCCCAAACUCUCCGGCGGCCAUUCCACGUGGCAGAGAGGUGGGGUUGAAGGGAGGCACGUCAUUGUUAUUGAAAUUGAAAUUCAUUUGUCCUUGGCCUUGCUGAGUCUGAUUAUUGAGAUUGAGUUCUGGCGCCGAGUUGAGCCCGGCGAGAGUCGCCCAGUCGAAAUUCCCGGAACCGGUGUUCUGAAAAUAAUCUUGCUGUCCUCCUGCUGCUGCAGCAGCGUCUUGAGCGAGUUUAUCCGGGGCAGGGUGAAGUUCCGAUCGUCAAUAUCCGGCAACCACUCGAGCACGUCGUCGAGCUGAGAAGAGCACGAUGACGACGAGCCGUUGCUGUGCUCUUUGCUCGAAACGCUCGUAACGGGCUUCUGUGCUGCCGCUGCCGCAGCCGCUGCUGAGCUGCUGCUCUUCUUGUAAAUACGACACAAAACCCAUUCAUCCAACUGCAAUCCAAAAUUUAGUUUAGAAUUUCAAUCGAAAUAAAUUUUAAAAAGCAAUCACUUGAAUAAUUUAAUAAAAUACAACAAAACACGAAUUAAAUUAAAUAUUUACCUUGGAGCUGCCAUUUUUGCGAGAGGGCUCGAUGAGGCGAUACUCGUGCAUAAUCCAGUUGGUCUUGGUGCCUUUUGGGGCUUUUCCCACAUAGAAAACAAGUGCUUUUUUAAUCCCAACUUUUCUACCUUCAGUUGUAAUAACCUUAUCAGUUCCAGUUGCCUUCCAGUACCCGGUCCCAGCAACCCGAUUGGGUCGCGACCCAUUUGGGUAUUUCCGGUCCCUCGGACUGAAAAAGUACCAUUCUUUUUCCCCAAAUAUCGCUUUGCCUGCAAAACCAACAUCGAAUUUAGUUCAAUUUACCACCACGUUAAACAUUUCAAAAGUGGGUGCUGAUAAAACAGUAAAAUUAAAAAUUGGAUUCUGGUUCUUACUUGGUAAAACCCAAGGAUCAAACUUGUAAAGAUCGAUUUCAGCAAUUAUUUGCAGAUUGAAUUGGUACCCAGCAACCUUGCGGCAGAGGUACUGAACCAGAAGCUCCUCGUCCGUCGGAUAGAAUCGAAACCCCGGCGGCAGGCUCAGCUGAGAAAGAGGGUCGGUUU